UAGGUACACUCUUUGGUGUGUUAAGAAAAAAAGAAUUCUUAAUAGACGUUGGAAUGAUAGCAAAUGUUACCCAUUUUAUAUUCCUUCAUAAAAUGAGGAGUUUUGUGUGAACUGUGUUUGCAAAAUUAAUGUUGAAACCUGUCUAUCUUAAGUUAGAUAUCUCAAUUUAAAAUAAGACAGGAGUUAUACGUUCAGAUACCAGGGACAUGCAUUUCUAGAAUAGUAUAUAUCAGUCCAGACUACCAAAAUUUUUUUUCUUAAGGAUGACAUUGUCCUAUCUACUAAAAUAAAUCAGUAUAGAUACUUUUGACAGAAGCAAGUUUGCAUAAUGCUAUGGGAAGCAAGCAAACACAGAAAAAACGAAGUUUACAGCUUCAUGACUCCAAGCACCUGAAAAAUGGGUUGUUUUCUUUUUGUUUCAUUGGGGUCAUCUGUACCCACUGAUCCAGGGUGACACUCUGAGUGGUGAUUUCAGCUGUGACCCCUCCAGAACCUCAGUGUGGAGGGAGGAGGGGAGAGUGACAAGCUUCCUCCCAUCACCAGGUGAUGUGGGGACACGUGUUGUGUAAUUUGACAAGAUGCGGGCAUCACAUUUGCUUUCUCGUGGACGAUGGCCAUGCUCUAAGAAGAAACUGACAGUGUGACUGACUGUUAGAGGGGAAUUUUCCUUCUCUAACCACAAUUUUAUUUUUCUUUCACUAACCAUCUCAAAGAUUUCAAGGUAAAAAUUCAACCAACUAAGAUGUGCAUUGCUCCAAACGUAAUGAUAAAAGGUGUAUGAAAGAAAAAUGUCAUCAAUAUUUACCAUUAUCUACAAUUUUCCUGCCAGAAGAAUAAGUCUUCCCCUCUGACAGUAUUAACAUACAAAUAAAACAACGCCCCCCCUCCAAUUCCUGGGAACUUCUGGAAGUUCCAAAGAUGUGUUAACCUAAAAAUAAGGUCCCUCGGCUUAUCUAAUAAAAGUACAGAUACCCAACGAAUUCUAAUGUCAGAUAAGCAAUGAAAAACGUUCAGUAUAACUCUGUCUCAUGCACUAAAAUAUGUCCUGUAUUUUAACUAGCAAUCCUACUUUGAAAUAUUUUUAAAAGCAUAUAAAAAUAUAGAUGAUUUUCCAGCUAUAGAGCAAUAAAAUUCCUCUGCUCAUUUAAUUGAUUGAAAAGUCUUUGGCUUAAUGGAAGCCUUUUCUAAAAGAAGAGGAAAAACUAUUAACUUUCAGGAUCUGCAUCUGACCUUUGGAAAAGUCUGAUUUCACCAAUGUUUAAAAAAUUUAAUAUAAUGUUAUUCUCAUACUUUGUUAACUGGCUUUGUUUUAUGUAAAAGUAGAUUAGGAACUGAAGUGGCCAUAGAGUUAAAAUAAACAAAUAUAUCAACUUUCUGGUAUUUUCUAGUAGCUUCUGGUAGCUUCCUCCCAUCACCAGAGUGAUACAUUAGGGCACUGGAAUGGAGAGCUGUAUCUUUGUCCUUUAAUUAAAUCGUGCAUCUCAGUGGCUUCUUGUGCCCCCCGUCUCCGUGGUAACUUCUAAUAAACCUGUGGUGGUGAAUGAGCAGUGUCUGUUUCUACGGUUCAGUUACAUACAUCCCUAUAUGCUUCACAGAUGUCCCCUUCCUUCAAGUAAAAUCACCUUCACAAGACGAGUGACGGUAGCUGUAUUUCUCCCAAUAACCCCCACAGUGUAAGCGCUCA
ensembl:lncRNA